GACGAACGCUAGCGGCGUGCUUAACACAUGCAAGUCGAACGGAAAGGCCCUGCUUUUGUGGUGUGCUCGAGUGGCGAACGGGUGAGUCACACGUGAGUAACCUGCCCUUGACUUUGGGAUAACUUCAGGGAACUGGGGCUCAUACCGGUUAGGAGCUCCUGCUGCAUGGUGAGGGUUGGAUAGGUUCGGCGGUUGGGGAUGGGCUCGCGGCUUAUCAGCUUGUUGGUGGGGUAGUGGCUUACCAAGGCUUUGACGGGUAGCCGGCCUGAGAGGGUGACCGGCCAAAUGGGGACUGAGAUACGGGCCACACUACUACGGGAGACAGCAGUGGGGAAUAGUGCACGAUGGGCGGAAGCCUGAUGCAGCAACGCCGCGUGCUGGAUGGCGGACUUCGGGUGGUAAACCGCAUUCGCAUCUGACGAAGCGUGAGUGACGGUAAUGGGUAAAGAAGCACCGGCUAACUACGUG
rnacentral:rRNA from 1 species